rnacentral:rRNA from 1 species
AAGCAGCCGCGGUAAUUCCAGCUCCAAUAGCGUAUAUUAAAGUUGUUGCAGUUAAAAAGCUCGUAGUUGAAUUUCGGGAUCAAUAUGCCGGUCAUGCCUCGGUAUGCACUGGUAUUCUUUGUAUUUUCCUUCCCUUCUGACGUAACUUUGAU